rnacentral:rRNA from 1 species
AGUGAACGCUGGCGGCAGGCCUAACACAUGCAAGUCGAACGGCAGCACAGGGGAGCUUGCUCCCUGGGUGGCGAGUGGCGGACGGGUGAGGAAUACAUCGGAAUCUACCCUGUCGUGGGGGAUAACGUAGGGAAACUUACGCUAAUACCGCAUACGACCUCCGGGUGAAAGCAGGGGAUCGCAAGACCUUGCGCGAUUGGAUGAGCCGAUGUCCGAUUAGCUAGUUGGCGGGGUAAAGGCCCACCAAGGCGACGAUCGGUAGCUGGUCUGAGAGGAUGAUCAGCCACACUGGAACUGAGAAACGGUCCAGACUCCUACGGGAGGCAGCAGUGGGGAAUAUUGGACAAUGGGCGAAAGCCUGAUCCAGCCAUGCCGCGUGGGUGAAGAAGGCCUUCGGGUUGUAAAGCCCUUUUGUUGGGAAAGAAAACUUUCCGGUUAAUACCCGGAGAGAAUGACGGUACCCAAAGAAUAAGCACCGGCUAACUUCGUG